AGUCGGAUUUCUGGGUCCAAUGGUGGUUCCAUUCCAAAUUUUCUAAGGAAUCUCCAUAUUGCUUUCCAGAUUGGUUUCACCAGUUUGCAGUCCCACCAGCAAU
rnacentral:pre_miRNA from 1 species